AAUUUUUCUUUACUACUUUCCUUUUAUCUUAAAUUAGUGACGUAGCAGUAUAAGCCCAGUACGCACAAACUUGUUGCUGCUAAAACUUCGAGGUCCUCCAUUGUUGCUAGCUCAAAGACGACUGAACUCGGCACGCGAGUGUAAACAGGCAACUUAUUAACCAUCGAUCAACACGAGCCUCGCACGAGGGACGAGGCGAGCCACGAGGCGAG